rnacentral:snoRNA from 1 species
UGGCACUGUUCGUAACCUGUUAGCAGCCUCCUCCUGGUAAUGGGUUCCAUUCCAGUGCUACAUGACACCCCAAGGUAAUCGAAGGCUGGCUUUUUGUCUGCCUGUCCCUCUUAUUUUGGGGGACAUAA